AUGCCCUGCUGUCCAUGUGGCCUGGCCCUUCUGCCAUUUUGGGGUCUCCCAAAUGGCAUCUUUGCAAGGGAGCUUGAAACCCCCAUCAUCAGCCAUCCAUCUGCUCUGGACCAAGCAGUUGGCCUGUUGCAGACCUGUCGCAUGGCUGGCCAACCCCCUGCCCCACAGCCUGGGGCUGGACUCAGACACAGGGAAACUUUGAUCUUCACUACCUGGUCUUCACCACCUGGAUCAAGACCAAGGCAAGAUGUUUCCCAGAUGAGGACUGGAGGCCUGAAGCAGGGAGAUCACGUGCUCACAGUGACAGAGCCCGUCAGAAGCUCUCAAGGCGUCUUUGUUCAAGGCAAGAACGAGCCUUUGGCCGAGAAGGUGGUGGCUUUUCCUCCCAGCAGCCAGAGACAACUGGGUCAGUGGUGAGCACCGGCUCCCAGUGCACCAUCUUCCAAAGCCCCCUCUCGUUACCCAGCCCUUUCCCCCUCUUGGUCCUAAACCCUGGGAUUCUCUUCCUGCUCCCAGGAGGGCUCCCGCUCUGACAUCUGUGGUGACACCCCCCUCCACCCCACUCCCCGGAGAAGAAAGGGCCGGAAUGAGAUCUUGGGAGAAGUGGGGGGUUGGGCGGGGGGGGGGGAGAAAUUCUGAGCCCAG
rnacentral:lncRNA from 1 species